rnacentral:pre_miRNA from 1 species
AAUGUAUGACGCCGUUGACUUUUUGUCCAACGUUUGACCAUUCGUCUUAUUCAAAAAAUUUAUAUAAUUAUCAUUUAUUUUAUUAUGACUUGAUUCGUCAUCAAAUAUUCUUUAAGUAUGACAUAAAUAUUUUUAUAUUUACACAAAAAAUUUGAAUAAAAUGAAUGGUCAAACGUUUGUCGAAAAGUCAACGGCAUCAUACAUU